rnacentral:miRNA from 1 species
UUCCUUCCGGUCAACGAGGAUGUACCUCGUUGAUCGGAAGGAAACCCUUCCGAUCAGGGAGGUAUAUCUACCUCUUUGAUCGGAAGGGGUUCCUUCCGAUCAACGAGGUACAUCCUCGUUGACCGGAAGGAA